rnacentral:rRNA from 1 species
AACGAACGCUGGCGGCAGGCCUAACACAUGCAAGUCGAGCGAGGACUUCGGUCCUAGCGGCGGACGGGUGAGUAACGCGUGGGAACGUGCCCUUUGCUUCGGAAUAGCCCUGGGAACCUGGGAGUAAUACCGGAUGAGCCCUUUGGGGGAAAGAUAUAUCGGCGAAGGAUCGGCCCGCGUUGGAUUAGGUAGUUGGUGGGGUAAUGGCCUACCAAGCCGACGAUCCAUAGCUGGUUUGAGAGGAUGAUCAGCCACACUGGGACUGAGACACGGCCCAGACUCCUACGGGAGGCAGCAGUGGGGAAUCGUAGACAACGGGGGAAACCCUGAUCUAGCCAUGCCGCGUGAGCGAUGAAGGCCUUAGGGUUGUAAAGCUCUUUCAGCUGGGAAGAUAAUGACGGUACCAGCAGAAGAAGCCCCGGCUAACUCCGUG